rnacentral:rRNA from 1 species
GAUGAACGCUAGCGGGAGGCCUAACACAUGCAAGCCGAGCGGUAGAGAUCUUUCGGGAUCUUGAGAGCGGCGUACGGGUGCGGAACACGUGUGCAACCUGCCUUUAUCUGGGGGAUAGCCUUUCGAAAGGAAGAUUAAUACCCCAUAAUAUACUGAAUGGCAUCAUUCGGUAUUGAAAACUCUGGUGGAUAGAGAUGGGCACGCGCAAGAUUAGAUAGUUGGUGAGGUAACGGCUCACCAAGUCUACGAUCUUUAGGGGGCCUGAGAGGGUGAUCCCCCACACUGGUACUGAGACACGGACCAGACUCCUACGGGAGGCAGCAGUGAGGAAUAUUGGACAAUGGGUGAGAGCCUGAUCCAGCCAUCCCGCGUGAAGGACGACGGCCCUAUGGGUUGUAAACUUCUUUUGUAUAGGGAUAAACCUACCCUCGUGAGGGUAGCUGAAGGUACUAUACGAAUAAGCACCGGCUAACUCCGUGCCAGCAGCCGCGGUAAUACGGAGGGUGCAAGCGUUAUCCGGANUUAUUGGGUUUAAAGGGUCCGUAGGCGGAUCUGUAAGUCAGUGGUGAAAUCUCACAGCUUAACUGUGAAACUGCCAUUGAUACUGCNGGUCUUGAGUGUUGUUGAA